rnacentral:rRNA from 1 species
UAAACUAGGAUUAGAUACCCUAUUAUUUGAAACGUUAUUGAUCUGGCCUGGCUAGUAUUAGUUAUUUUCUUGAAAAUUAUAUAAUUUGGCGGUAUUUUAAUCUGUUCAGAGGAACCUGUCCCGUAAUCGAUAGUCCACGAUUUAUUUUACUUUUUUUUAGUUUAUAUAUCGUUGUAGCUUGAACAUUCUAAGAGGAUUAUAAAAAUGUUCAUAAUUUAAAAUUAUGAAGUAAUUCAAAUCAAGGUGUAGCUUAUAAGAAAGGGGAGAUGGGUUACAAUAAUUAUAUUUUUGGAUAAAUUUUAGUAAGGAAUUUUGAAUUUGGAUUUGAUAGUAAUUUUUAUUAAAUAAUAGAAAUGAUUUUAGCUCUAAAAUAUGUACACAUCGCCCGUCGCUCUUAA